UACGUAGGGUGCAAGCGUUGUCCGGAAUCACUGGGCGUAAAGGGUGCGUAGGCGGGGCUUUAAGUCAGGGGUGAAAUCCUGGAGCUCAACUCCAGAACUGCCUUUGAUACUGAGGAUCUUGAGUACGGGAGAGGUGAGUGGAACUGCGAGUGUAGAGGUGAAAUUCGUAGAUAUUCGCAAGAACACCAGUGGCGAAGGCGGCUCACUGGCCCGUAACUGACGCUGAGGCACGAAAGCGUGGGGAGCAAACAGG
rnacentral:rRNA from 1 species